rnacentral:snRNA from 1 species
GUGCUCACUUCGGCAGCACAUAUACUAAAAUUGGAAGGAUACAGAGAAGAUUAGCACGACCCCUGCGCAAGGAUGACACACAAAUUUGUGAAGCAUUCCAUAUUUUU